rnacentral:rRNA from 1 species
GACGAACGCUGGCGGCGUGCUUAACACAUGCAAGUCGAACGCUGAAGCCCUUUCGGGGGUGGAUGAGUGGCGAACGGGUGAGUAACACGUGGGUAAUCUGCACUGCACUCUGGGAUAAGCCUUGGAAACGGGGUCUAAUACCGGAUAGGACACAUUGCCGCAUGGUGUGUGUGUGGAAAGUUCCGGGGGUGCAGGUUGAGCCCGCGGCCUAUCAGCUUGUUGGUGGGGUGAUGGCCUACCAAGGCGACGACGGGUAGCCGGCCUGAGAGGGUGACCGGCCACACUGGGACCGAGACACGGCCCAGACUCCUACGGGAGGCAGCAGUGGGGAAUCUUGCGCAAUGGGCGAAAGCCUGACGCAGCAACGCCGCGUGGGGGAUGACGGCCUUCGGGUUGUAAACCUCUUUCGACCGGGACGAAGGGUGACUGACGGUACCGGUAGAAGAAGCACCGGCUAACUACGUGCCAGCAGCCGCCGCGG